ACUCCUACGGGAGGCAGCAGUAGGGAAUCUUCCGCAAUGGACGAAAGUCUGACGGAGCAACGCCGCGUGAACGAUGAAGGCCUUCGGGUCGUAAAGUUCUGUUGUUAGGGAAGAACAAGUACCAGAGUAACUGCUGGUACCUUGACGGUACCUAACCAGAAAGCCACGGCUAACUACGUGCCAGCAGCCGCGGUAAU
rnacentral:rRNA from 1 species